UACGUAGGGUGCAAGCGUUGUCCGGAUUUAUUGGGCGUAAAGAGCUCGUAGGCGGUUUUGAAAGUCGGGUGUGAAACCUCCAGGCUCAACCUGGAGGCGCCACUCGAUACUUCAAUGACUUGAGUUCGGUAGGGGUAAGCGGAAUUCCUGGUGUAGCGGUGAAAUGCGUAGAUAUCGUAAGGAAGACCAGUGGCGAAGGCGGGUCUCUGGACAGUUCCUGACGCUGAGGCACGAAGGUCAGGGGAGCGAAACCGGGG
rnacentral:rRNA from 1 species